GAUGAAGAACGUAGCGAAAUGCGAUAAGUAAUGUGAAUUGCAGAAUUCAGUGAAUCAUCGAGUCUUUGAACGCACAUUGCGCCCUCUGGUAUUCCGGAGGGCAUGCCUGUCCGAGCGUCAUUGCUGCCCUCAAGCACGGCUUGUGUGUUAGGCCCCGUCCUCCGCUCGCGGGGGACGGGCCUGAAAGGCAGCGGCGGCACCGCGUCCGGUCCUCGAGCGUAUGGGGCUUUGUCACCCGCUCUGUAGGCCCGGCCGGCGCCUGCCGAUCAACCACACUUUUAUUCAGGUUGACCUCGGAUCAGGUAGGGAUACCCGCUGAACUUAAGCAUAUCAAUAAGCGGAGGA
rnacentral:misc_RNA from 1 species